GACGAACGCUGGCGGCGUGCUUAACACAUGCAAGUCGAACGGAAAGGCCCUGCUUUUGUGGGGUGCUCGAGUGGCGAACGGGUGAGUAACACGUGAGUAACCUGCCCUUGACUUUGGGAUAACUUCAGGAAACUGGGGCUAAUACCGGAUAGGAGCUCCUGCUGCAUGGUGGGGGUUGGAAAGUUUCGGCGGUUGGGGAUGGACUCGCGGCUUACCAGCUUGUUGGUGGGGUAGUGGCUUACCAAGGCUUUGACGGGUAGCCGGCCUGAGAGGGUGACCGGCGACAUUGGGACUGAGAUACGGCCCAGACUCCUACGGGAGGCAGCAGUGGGGAAUAUUGCACAAUGGGUGGAAGCCUGAGGCAGCAACGCCGCGUGCGGGAUGACGGCCUUCGGGUUGUAAACCGCUUUCGCCUGUGACGAAGCGGGAGUGACGGUAAUGGGUAAAGAAGCACCGGCUAACUACGUG
rnacentral:rRNA from 1 species